UGGAAAGGUUGCUUUUGUACUGUGGGAGAGUGUACUUCAAGCCAGCGGUUUGUAGUGCAGCCGGUGAUUGAUGAAACGGGCCGUUGCUUGUGUAUUGCUGUUGGUAAGCAGCAGAUGGGAGGUAUGCGUAGCUCUGAGGCAUAUAAGGGUAACCGAUCAUGUUUGCGAAAUGCCCGAGGGGUAGUGUUGGCUGAGAAUACGGGUGCAUGGGUAGAUGUUGAGGAAGCCCUGCAGGGAUGCUG
rnacentral:misc_RNA from 1 species